GAACAAAAUAUUAUUUCAUUGUUCAAAAAACAAUGGGCUAGAUUCGAUAUCAGCAUAUAACCAUCGCAUAAAAUGAGGUGUACAAUAAACAGUGAGUUAUAUCCAAUAAUGAUCGAUCGAGUCUAUUUAAAAGAGUCAUCACUCACCUCUCCCGUUUUGGAUUUUAACAAAGCACGCAAGCAAUCUUCGACUAAGGAAUCACCGGAAACAUUCUGUUACGAAAAAUGAUGCUGCGAAUAUAAAUGGAUCGUUUGUACGAAAUUGAGGAUUUAUCACCAGACGACCGUCGAAUACUAAACCAG